AGUCUCACUCCCAAAUUCUAAAUACAGAAAAAGUUAUACCCAAAUUAGUGACGACUGUUCACGUUAUGUCAAUUAGUUAUGUACCAUUUCUUCACCUAAACCAAUUCCUAUCGAUUUCUCCUGUUUUAUAAGACAUGGAUUACAACAUAUGAAAGAAUAAUGAGCUUGGUACCACCAUGACUAAUUGAUUGAACGAUCAAAGAGAAUAAGUAAAGGAUCGAGUAUAACCUUAUAUUAUGUGUUGUACACUGUAAUUGUAGGUCGAGACGAGGACAUUGUACCAUUACCACCGGGAACCGAUCACUGUAACCAACCAAGUGGUCAGUCCUAGUCAUGACACCUGUUUUCUUUUGUCAACCUUCGUGGGUUCAGGCACUGCACGAAGCCAUUUAUUUUUGUAAAGUCUAUUGAAAUGUUGGCUUAAUUUUGAUUACCCAUUUAAAGUUAAAGAGGUAUAACUUCAAUGAUUUUUAUAUAAGCCUAAUGAUGGGGCUGGGUCUGUACAUAUGGUUGUUUAUCACCGAUGCUACAACAUAUGGUUUGGAGCUUUAUCUAUUUUCCAUGAUGAAUGUGAUGUAUAAGAGGUCCUGGCAUGUAGAUGUAGCUCAAUGGAAUUUAUAUGUAUAGUUAUUUUCCUACUUUAUGCUUC